rnacentral:rRNA from 1 species
AUGAACGCUGGCGGCGUGCCUAAUACAUGCAAGUCGAGCGAACGGACGAGAAGCUUGCUUCUCUGAUGUUAGCGGCGGACGGGUGAGUAACACGUGGAUAACCUACCUAUAAGACUGGGAUAACUUCGGGAAACCGGAGCUAAUACCGGAUAAUAUUUUGAACCGCAUGGUUCAAAAGUGAAAGACGGUCUUGCUGUCACUUAUAGAUGGAUCCGCGCUGCAUUAGCUAGUUGGUAAGGUAACGGCUUACCAAGGCAACGAUGCAUAGCCGACCUGAGAGGGUGAUCGGCCACACUGGAACUGAGACACGGUCCAGACUCCUACGGGAGGCAGCAGUAGGGAAUCUUCCGCAAUGGGCGAAAGCCUGACGGAGCAACGCCGCGUGAGUGAUGAAGGUCUUCGGAUCGUAAAACUCUGUUAUUAAGGAAGAACAUAUGUGUAAGUAACUGUGCACAUCUUGACGGUACCUAAUCAGAAAGCCACGGCUAACUACGUG